rnacentral:lncRNA from 1 species
UUGAUUUUCUAGCCCUUCUUGUAUUUCAAAAAUCGUCCUCUCCGAUGCUCACCACCUCGUUAGCUCAAUCAAGUAUAUCAAGGGUGGUUCCUCCUCAUUCAAGCCCAUCUUGAAUAUUGGUCUCUUGCAAAUUGAAAUUGCAUUGAAUUCAUCCAAAGUAGCUUGAACAAAUCAUUGCUUUGCUUCCUUGAUCUUCUUAGCUCGUGCUCUCAUAAUUGGCCCUUUUGGAACAAGCAACAAAUCUCUAAUGCUCUGAGCACUCUAGAUCACAUCAUUCUUGACGGCAAUCCCAAAUGAUCUUUUAGUAUAAGUAAGAAGUAAUGUUUGAAACUACAUGAAAUAUGUAUAAAACUAAAAAUUAUAUCCAAUUUUAUUGAUAUUAUAUAUAUCUGGUAAUAUAAGAAUGUAUUUUUAUUUUGUUUCGGCUUGAUCCAUGUCAAGAAAAAUAAGUUUGCUUAAUUAUCUUGCAUGGUAAACAAAUACUAUGAUAGAAAAUGAAAAAAAGAAGUUUAUAAAUGUCCUAGCAUGAAUAUAGAACUCAUGGUUAAACCAAUUUAGUAAAACUUAUUUCAAUUGUUUUCAAUUGAUGAGAAAUUUUUUUCUUUGCUCAAAUAAAUUAAACAAGUAAACUAAAUUAAAUAAGUAAACUAUUUUCUAAAUUAAACUUUAAUGUUGAUUAAUAAUUUUUAUAUUACUUUUAUAAAUAUUUGUUUUGUUUAAAAUUUUAAAACACUAAUUUACCACUCUUAUAUUAAAUUAUUUUUAUCUUUUAUGUUCUCGCCUCCCAACCAAACACCACCUAAAGGUUUAAAAUAAGCUUAGAGAAAACAACAAAAGAAAGCCGAAACAGGUCCAUGGAUAAGAUUGCGAAGAAGAAAUGGACCACUUUGCUUUGUUUGGCUUGGCUUUUUCUCCUCAAUCUAACUUGAUGCCAGCGGGAUAUUCCUGCCAUUGUUCUAGAAAACUCCAUCAAUAAUUCAAACUGUGAUCUGGACCGGCUCAUAGUUUUUUAUUUA